GACGAACGCUGGCGGCGCGCCUAACACAUGCGAGUCGAACGAGCGAGAGAGAGCUUGCUUUCUCGAGCGAGUGGCGAACGGGUGAGUAACGCGUGAGGAACCUGCCUCAAAGAGGGGGACAACAGUUGGAAACGACUGCUAAUACCGCAUAAGCCCACGGCUCGGCAUCGAGCAGGGGGAAAAGGAGCAAUCCGCUUUGAGAUGGCCUCGCGUCCGAUUAGCUAGUUGGUGGGGUAACGGCCCACCAAGGCGACGAUCGGUAGCCGGACUGAGAGGUUGAACGGCCACAUUGGGACUGAGACACGGCCCAGACUCCUACGGGAGGCAGCAGUGGGGAAUAGUGCACAAUGGGGGAAACCCUGAUGCAGCGACGCCGCGUGGAGGAAGAAGGUCUUCGGAUUGUAAACUCCUGUUGUUCGGGAAGAUAAUGACGGUACCCAACAAGGAAGUGACGGCUAACUACGUG
rnacentral:rRNA from 1 species